rnacentral:rRNA from 1 species
UACGGAGGGUGCAAGCAUUAAUCGGAAUUACUGGGCGUAAAGCGUGCGCAGGCGGUUUGUUAAGUCUGCUGUGAAAUCCCCCGAGCUCAACUUGGGAAUUGCAGUGGAUACUGGCAAGCUGGAGUACGGUAGAGGAAGGUGGAAUUCCCGGUGUAGCAGUGAAAUGCGUAGAGAUCGGGAGGAACACCAGUGGCGAAGGCGGCCUCUGGACCAGUACUGACGCUCAUGCACGAAAGCGUGGGGAGCAAACAGG